AUUUAAAAGCAUUGGCCACAUUGGAAGCAAAAUAAUAAUGAAUAAAGUUUGGCAAACCCAUUCCUCCCCUAGCUUUUUAAAAGUGGUCAAUUGAAUUCUGCAAGGCUUCCUAUUUCAUAUAAAUGUCAGAAGGUCUGAAUGAACCUUCCAAAAAAAUUAGAAUGGUGUAGUGAAGUGAAUCGCUCUGAGGAAAUAUAACAUUUUGGGAAGGAGACGUCAUUUCCCAAGCACACAGCCC